AGUCGAACGAACUCUUCGGAGUUAGUGGCGGACGGGUGAGUAACACGUGGGAACGUGCCUUUAGGUUCGGAAUAACUCAGGGAAACUUGUGCUAAUACCGAAUGUGCCCUUCGGGGGAAAGAUUUAUCGCCUUUAGAGCGGCCCGCGUCUGAUUAGCUAGUUGGUGGGGUAAUGGCCCACCAAGGCUACGAUCAGUAGCUGGUCUGAGAGGAUGACCAGCCACAUUGGGACUGAGACACGGCCCAAACUCCUACGGGAGGCAGCAGUGGGGAAUCUUGCGCAAUGGGCGAAAGCCUGACGCAGCCAUGCCGCGUGUAUGAUGAAGGUCUUAGGAUUGUAAAAUACUUUCACCGGUGAAGAUAAUGACUGUAGCCGGAGAAGAAGCCCCGGCUAACUUCGUGCCAGCAGCCGCGGUAAUACGAAGGGGGCUAGCGUUGCUCGGAAUUACUGGGCGUAAAGGGAGCGUAGGCGGACAUUUAAGUCAGAGGUGAAAUCCCGGAGCUUAACUUCGGAACUGCCUUUGAUACUGGGUGUCUUGAGUGUGAGAGAGGUAUGUGGAACUCCGAGUGUAGAGGUGAAAUUCGUAGAUAUUCGGAAGAACACCAGUGGCGAAGGCGACAUACUGGCUCAUUACUGACGCUGAGGCUCGAAAGCGUGGGGAGCAAACAGGAUUAGAUACCCUGGUAGUCCACGCCGUAAACGAUGAUUGCUAGUUGUCGGGAAGCUUGCUUCUCGGUGACGCAGCUAACGCA
rnacentral:rRNA from 1 species